UAUUGGACAAUGGGGGCAACCCUGAUCCAGCAAUACCGCGUGAGUGAAGAAGGCCUUAGGGUUGUAAAGCUCUUUUACCGGGGAAGAUAAUGACGGUACCCGGAGAAUAAGCUCCGGCUAACUUCGUGCCAGCAGCCGCGGUAAUACGAAGGGAGCUAGCGUUGUUCGGAAUUACUGGGCGUAAAGGGCGCGUAGGCGGCUAUGUAAGUCAGAUGUGAAAGCCCCGGGCUUAACCUGGGAACUGCAUUUGAUACUGCAAGGCUAGAGAUCGAGAGAGGAAAGUGGAAUUACGAGUGUAGAAGUGAAAUUCGUAGAUAUUCGUAGGAACACCAGGGCGAAGGCGACUUUCGGCUCGAUACUGACGCUAAAGCGCGAAA
rnacentral:rRNA from 1 species